UUUGUGUUAAACUUUCAACCUUCUUCAAUCCCAAACUCCUUUCCCAUCCCCACACUAACCAGAGAAGGGUCGGUAACCCUUUCCCUCAGCUGAAGAACAAUACCCAUUUGUGCCUCACCUUCCAAGCAAGGCUUUGCUCAAGUUACACCAACGACAAUACACAUGAGCUAUCAGAUGCAUACAGUAAUGAAGGUAUAUGAUUGUUCUAUUUUCUACAAUUAUGCAGUAACUAGGAUACGAUAUUUAAAUUGUUGCAAGUUUCUAAUUACUAGUUUAAACCGGGGACAUUAAUGGGUGCUCAAAUUAUUGGUGGUCCAUAUUUUAGU